rnacentral:rRNA from 1 species
GACAGAGGGGGCGAGCGUUGUCCGGAGUCACUGGGCGUAAAGCGCGCGCAGGCGGCAACCUAAGUGUCGUGUGAAAGCCCCCGGCUCAACCGGGGGAGGCCAUGGCAACCUGGGUCGCUCGAGCUGCGGAGAGGCCCCUCGAAUUGCCGGUGUAGCGGUGAAAUGCGUAGAGAUCGGCAGGAAGACCAAGGGGGACGCCAGGGGGCUGGCCGCAGGCUGACGCUGAGGCGCGACAGCGUGGGGAGCAAACCGG